GACGUAGGGCGCGAGCGUUGUCCGGAUUUAUUGGGCGUAAAGAGCUCGUAGGCGGUCUGUCGCGUCGGCUGUGAAAACUCGGGGCUCAACCCCGAGCCUGCAGUCGAUACGGGCAGACUAGAGUCCGGCAGGGGAGACUGGAAUUCCUGGUGUAGCGGUGAAAUGCGCAGAUAUCAGGAGGAACACCGAUGGCGAAGGCAGGUCUCUGGGCUGACACUGACGCUCAUGCACGAAAGCGUGGGGAGCAAACAGG
rnacentral:rRNA from 1 species